rnacentral:lncRNA from 1 species
GGCGGCUGUGAGCAGCGCUCUGGGCGCGCUGGGCGGAGAGCCGAGCGGGGGCCGGCGGAGGGCGGACAGGGCGGGCGCGUGCAGCUCAGGUCGGGCGCCCAAGACGAGGGGCCUCUGGCAGGCACCUGAGGUAACCAGGCUUUGAUGCACCCUCAGGAAGUCUGUGCACUCGAGGAGGCCACCCCCCGCCGGCUGCUGCUCACAUGGUUUCUGGGCCCCUGGCACUCCGGUCCGCAUGUAGCCUUGGCUAAUUUCAAACUCCGUAUGUAGCAAAGGAUGACCUUGAACUCCUGAUCUUCGUGCCCUCACACCUCCAAGAGAUAGAAUUACAGAUGUGGGCAACCAAGCCCGGCUUUGUAUACCUGAAUUGGUCGGGCGUGAUCCGUCUCGGUUGGGUUCGGGCGCCCUCUGCUGCCUAUUGUGACGCGGGCCACCAAGUUACCCAGGCGGUGGAGGUCGGGGCGGAGCUCUGGAGCCAUGACUGAGCCGCAGGAGCAGCUGCUGCAGCUGCAGAAGGACAACCGAGAUGGCCGCCUGCGGAAGCAGGAGCUAGAAGAGCUGGUGCGUGGGCUGGAAGCCGAGAGCGAGAGCCUCACCGGGCGCCUGGAGGAGCUGCGGGAGCGCGAGCGCAGCCUGCAGCGGAGACGAAGUCAAGCAUCACGAGCCAUUCGAGGCGAGGCAUGUGAGGCGGCACGGGAGCGUGCGGAGCGGGCUCGU